rnacentral:rRNA from 1 species
AUUGAACGCUGGCGGCAGGCCUAACACAUGCAAGUCGAACGAAUAGCGGACGGGUGAGUAGUGUCGGGGAAACUGCCCAAUGGAGGGAGAUAACUACUGGAAACGGUAGCUACUACCGCAUACCAUCGUCUGUGCCCAGGUGGGAUUAGCUAGUAGGUGGGGUAAAGGCUCAUCGAGGCGACGAGCCCUAGCUGGGCCAGGAGGAUGACCAGCCACACUGUAACUGAGACACGGUCCAGACUCCUACGGGAGGCAGCAGUGGGGAAUUUUGCACAAUGGGCGCAAGUCUGAUGGAGCCAUGCCGCGUGUAUGAAGAAGGCCUUCGGGUCGUAAAGUACUUUCAGCGGGGAGGCGUUACCCGCAGAAGAAGCACCGGCUAACUCCGUGCCAGCAGCCGCGGUAAUAC